GACGAACGCUGGCGGCGUGCCUAAUACAUGCAAGUCGAGCGAGACUCUUCGGAGUCUAGCGGCGGACGGGUGAGUAACACGUGGGCAACCUGCCUGUAAGACUGGGAUAACACCGGGAAACCGGUGCUAAUACCGGAUAAUCCUCUUCCUCACAUGAGGAAAAGCUGAAAGUCGGUUUCGGCUGACACUUACAGAUGGGCCCGGGGCGCAUUAGCUAGUUGGUGAGGUAACGGCUCAACAAGGCGACGAUGCGUAGCCGACCUGAGAGGGUGGACGGCCACACUGGGACUGAGACACGGCCCCGACUCCUACGGGAGGCAGGAGUAGGGAAUCUUGCACAAUGGACGAAAGUCUGAUGGAGCAACGCCGCGUGAGCGAUGAAGGCCGUCGGGUCGUAAAGCUCUGUUGUUAGGGAAGAACCAGUACCGGAGUAACUGCCGGUACCUUGACGGUACCUAACCAGAAAGCCACGGCUAACUACGUGCCAGCCGCCGCCGUAACAC
rnacentral:rRNA from 1 species